rnacentral:rRNA from 1 species
UAAGCGGAGGAAAAGAAACCAACAGGGAUUGCCUUAGUAGCGGCGAGUGAAGCGGCAAAAGCUCAAAUUUGAAAUCUGGCACUUUCAGUGUCCGAGUUGUAAUUUGAAGAAGGUAUCUUUGGGUCUGGCUCUUGUCUAUGUUUCUUGGAACAGAACGUCACAGAGGGUGAGAAUCCCGUGCGAUGAGAUGUCCCAGACCUAUGUAAAGUUCCUUCGAAGAGUCGAGUUGUUUGGGAAUGCAGCUCUAAGUGGGUGGUAAAUUCCAUCUAAAGCUAAAUAUUGGCGAGAGACCGAUAGCGAACAAGUACAGUGAUGGAAAGAUGAAAAGAACUUUGAAAAGAGAGUGAAAAAGUACGUGAAAUUGUUGAAAGGGAAGGGCUUGAGAUCAGACUUGGUAUUUUGUAUGUUACUCUCUCGGGGGUGGCCUCUACAGUUUACCGGGCCAGCAUCAGUUUGAGCGGUAGGAUAAGUGCAAAGAAAUGUGGCACUGCUUCGGUAGUGUGUUAUAGUCUUUGUCGAUACUGCCAGCUUAGACUGAGGACUGC